rnacentral:misc_RNA from 1 species
AACUUACCUAAACGUUGCUUCGGCGGGAACAGACGGCCCCGUAAAACGGGCCGCCCCCGCCAGAGGACCCCUAACUCUGUUUCUAUUAUGUUUCUUCUGAGUAAAACAAGCAAAUAAAUUAAAACUUUCAACAACGGAUCUCUUGGCUCUGGCAUCGAUGAAGAACGCAGCGAAAUGCGAUAAGUAAUGUGAAUUGCAGAAUUCAGUGAAUCAUCGAAUCUUUGAACGCACAUUGCGCCCGCCAGUAUUCUGGCGGGCAUGCCUGUUCGAGCGUCAUUACAACCCUCAGGCCCCCGGGCCUGGCGUUGGGGAUCGGCGGAGCCCCCCGUGGGCACACGCCGUCCCCCAAAUACAGUGGCGGUCCCGCCGCAGCUUCCAUCGCGUAGUAGCUAACACCUCGCGACUGGAGAGCGGCGCGGCCACGCCGUAAAACACCCAACUCUUCUGAA